AGAAAAUCAUUCAAGUGUUGCAGUCCCACAUAUUGGAAAGCUUAAUUACAGCAUGGACGGAGAAGAGCCAAAGCAGCUAGAAGGGAGGACGCGUCUCCUCAUUCUCCACAGACAGAAUCUGUCCAAGAACCCAGGCAGGUCGUCACAUCUGUCUGUCUGCCAGAAGCUACGUUCAUUACACAACCGAGAGCCACCCUGGGGGAAGCCUCACACAGGCUCAUUUCCAACCCUUGUACUUGCUCAGCCUCAUUUCAGAACCCAGCAGAUCAUCUCAAAAUCUCCCUCAGUGCCCCGAAAAUAUGCAUACAAUUCAGUCACAGUAGACAUCAAGUCACAGCAAGACAUAGCUCACAUUGGGAUCCUACACCUGCGGGAAACACUUCCAUAUUGAAAUAAGCCCCAGAAUCAGAUCAGCCAGAAGUCUCAAGAAAAAAAGACUCAUCAUGUAUGGACAGAUAGAAAAAUGGCAGCUGUGAUGAACGUAUUGUAUGACAAGAGAACUGGCUUUGUUUUUGAAUCAGAAGAGAGAUCCCAUCAUUCCCAAGACACCUACAGCAUCAGAGACUACACACCAUAAAGUAUUCACUUUACUUCCAUUUUUCUCCUUCAGUGUACGUGAUCUGGCUUGCUUUAUUGUUUUGCAUAUUGAAUGUCUUGGUGCUAGAACAAAUUUCACCCUCUCUUAAUGUACUCAUGAUGAUGUUACUGUAUGUCCAUGUUCUUCUUGUUGCAAAUGAAGAACUGAACAAAAUGUGGAAAUGCAGCACCAAAAGUAAAAACAAAGAUUUGUUAAAAGGGAAAGUAAGACAUUCACCCAACAGCAGGAAUGGAACCAAGUAAGCAGGUGGCACUUGAGUCCGCUCAUUUCAGAUCCAGGAGCUUUAAAUUGUAAGGGAGGGGAGAGGUGUUCCCUGAGC
ensembl:lncRNA